UCAGGAUUCAACAUGGAAUACUCAUGCUUAUUUUUGCUAAACGGGGGCAUUUUGCUCUUUUCCCGUUUUAUUAUUAUUAUUAUUAUUAUUAUUUUUUAACAAUGACUGUGUAAUGUCUCAUUCCAUUAGGCUAACAGUGUUACCCCUUAGCGAGCUUUCGACCAACGACUCCCAGACCAUAUAAGACCUUAGGGCGCUAGGUUUUAAGAUACCCCUUCGGGCGUACUUGCUCAAGUAACAAAGGCCCCGAAACAAGACUAGUCACCCUAUAUAUAUAUUUUUUUAGAUGGUUAGUGAGUGCAUUUUACGCUCCAUCUCACGCUUGUGUUUAUGGUGAGUGUUUCUCCUCAACCCACCACAAGACUCAACUUUUUUUUUUUUUUUUAAAGCUUAUAUAUUCCAAAUAUUUUUCCCCCAAACUCGAGUUUAUGCAUAAAUUCAGUCUUCUCUAGCUAUUCAAAUUGUUCUUCCAUAUCACUAGCAAUCCUCCUUUAGAACUCUAUUAUCUAACCAUUUAAACUAUCAUAGCCAACAUGGUCGUUUUUUUCAAAGUGCCUUCCUAUAAUAUCAGUGUCAAACAGAUAAAGAUUCAAUUCAUGUCAAGAAAAUCAUAUCACUGACUCAACAAUCCUUACUAGACUUGUUCAUGCAAUUCUACUUUCAUCAUU
rnacentral:lncRNA from 1 species